rnacentral:rRNA from 1 species
UGCCAUCAUUUAGUUGGGCACUCUAGCGAGACUGCCGGUGACAAACCGGAGGAAGGUGGGGAUGACGUCAAAUCAUCAUGCCCCUUAUGACCUGGGCUACACACGUGCUACAAUGGGAAGUACAACGAGUCGCUAGACCGCGAGGUCAUGCAAAUCUCUUAAAGCUUCUCUCAGUUCGGAUUGCAGGCUGCAACUCGCCUGCAUGAAGCCGGAAUCGCUAGUAAUCGCGGAUCAGCACGCCGCGGUGAAUACGUUCCCGGGCCUUGUACACACCGCCCGUCACACCACGAGAGUUUGUAACACCCGAAGUCGGUGAGGUAACCUUUUUGGAGCCAGCCGCCUAAGGUGGGAUAGAUGAUUGGGGUGAAGUCGUAACAAGGUAGCCGUAUCGGAAGGUGCGGCUGGAUCACCUCCUUU